rnacentral:rRNA from 1 species
UACGUAGGGGGCUAGCGUUGUUCGGAAUUACUGGGCGUAAAGCGUGCGCAGGCGGCCAUCCAAGUCAGUGGUGAAAGCCCGGAGCUCAACUCCGGAAUUGCCAUUGAAACUGUUUGGCUCGAGUACGAGAGAGGUGAGUGGAAUUCCCAGUGUAGAGGUGAAAUUCGUAGAUAUUGGGAAGAACACCGGUGGCGAAGGCGGCUCACUGGCUCGUAACUGACGCUCAUGCACGACAGCGUGGGGAUCAAACAGG